rnacentral:sRNA from 1 species
AUAUAGAACAAUGGAAGUGACAACAAGAUUGACAUGGAAUGAUGAAAAUCAUCUGCGCAAGCUGCUUGGAAAUGCUUCUUUGAGUCUUCUCUAUAAGUCUAGUGUUCAUGGAGGAAUUAAGGAUAACCUAGAUGACAUAAAGAGGAUAAUUAAAGCCAGAGAGCACAGAAAUAGGCUUCUAGCAGACAUCAGAGACUACAAGCCCUAUGCAGACUUGGUUUCAGAAAUUCGUAUUCUUUUGGUGGGUCCAAUUGGGUCUGGAAAGUCCAGUUUUUUCAAUUCAGUCAAGUCUAUUUUUCAUGGCCAUGUGACUGGCCAAGCCGUAGUGGGGUCUGAUAUCACCAGCAUAACCGAGCGGAUUACAAUAGGUCAUAGAUGGUUCUCUCCCUUCUGGUUUGAGUGAUACUACACCCUUGCCAGCACCACAGAUGGAAAAACUGUAAUUAAAGUGUCUCUGAGAAAUCCUUUUCUUUGCAAUCUUCCCAAAUCGUCCAUAUUUUUUUGUGUAUGUUGAAUGUAUAUCUGACCAUCAAAUAAAAUACUUUCAGAAUUGUUCUAGAAAAUA